rnacentral:siRNA from 1 species
CACCGCCCGUCGCUCCUA